UACGUAGGGGGCUAGCGUUGUCCGGAAUCAUUGGGCGUAAAGCGCGUGUAGGCGGCCCGGUAAGUCCGCUGUGAAAGUCGGGGGCUCAACCCUCGAAAGCCGGUGGAUACUGUCGGGCUAGAGUACGGGAAGAGGCGAGUGGAAUUCCUGGUGUAGCGGUGAAAUGCGCAGAUAUCAGGAGGAACACCCAUUGCGAAGGCAGCUCGCUGGGACGUUACUGACGCUGAGACGCGAAAGCGUGGGGAGCAAACAGG
rnacentral:rRNA from 1 species